rnacentral:rRNA from 1 species
UGCAGUCGAACGCUUCUUUUUCCACCGGAGCUUGCUCCACCGGAAAAAGAGGAGUGGCGAACGGGUGAGUAACACGUGGGUAACCUGCCCAUCAGAAGGGGAUAACACUUGGAAACAGGUGCUAAUACCGUAUAACAAUCGAAACCGCAUGGUUUUGAUUUGAAAGGCGCUUUCGGGUGUCGCUGAUGGAUGGACCCGCGGUGCAUUAGCUAGUUGGUGAGGUAACGGCUCACCAAGGCGACGAUGCAUAGCCGACCUGAGAGGGUGAUCGGCCACAUUGGGACUGAGACACGGCCCAAACUCCUACGGGAGGCAGCAGUAGGGAAUCUUCGGCAAUGGACGAAAGUCUGACCGAGCAACGCCGCGUGAGUGAAGAAGGUUUUCGGAUCGUAAAACUCUGUUGUUAGAGAAGAACAAGGAUGAGAGUAACUGUUCAUCCCUUGACGGUAUCUAACCAGAAAGCCACGGCUAACUACGUGCCA